rnacentral:tRNA from 5 species
GGAGAGGUGACCGAGCGGCUUAAGGUGUACGCCUGGAAAGCGUAUGUACUGAAAGGUACCCAGGGUUCAAAUCCCUGCCUCUCCGCCA